UAUUAUGUCUGCAAAACUACUAAUGUCAAGUGUAUUUGUGAAAAUUUGUGAAUAUUUUUUAAUAUGUUCUAUAUGUCUCAGCUAUUCAUUGGUGGCUUGGCAUAACUGACGAAGACGCAGAAGGGGUCUGGAGAUGGUUUGACGAUGACACUGUGGCUGAAUAUACAGACUUUGAGUCGAAUGACCAUUCCCAUCCAGGAGAAGACUGUGGGUUGUUUGCAUCAAUCUAUGAGUUCAGAUGGGCUGACAUUGAAUGUACGGCUCACUACCCACCUCUUUGCGAACUUAGUGCACGCAACACUGAGGUCGAGACUGUUGGCUAAUAUCGAUGAGAUGACAUCUUGACACUUUCUUACUUCUUUUGUGUACAAGGACGAAUAUGUGUAAUUAAUGUACGUUUGAAAAUCAAUAUAAGACAUAACGUUUUUGGUUA